CCCAGGGCUAAAGCCCUGGGUUACUUUCGCUUGUCCCUUCGGGACG
rfam:Candidatus Fischerbacteria bacterium RBG_13_37_8 RBG_13_scaffold_117, whole genome shotgun sequence.